GCCUUCGUGGUGUAGGGGUCAGCACGCUCGACAUUUAUUCGAGAGGUCCGUGGUUCGAAUCCUGGCGAGGGCA
rnacentral:tRNA from 1 species